rnacentral:rRNA from 1 species
ACGAACGCUGGCGGCGUGCUUAACACAUGCAAGUCGAACGGGGGUAGCAAUACCCUAGUGGCGGACGGGUGAGUAACGCGUAGGUAAUCUGCCCAUCGAUGGGGGACACCCAGCCGAAAGGCUGGCUAAUACCGCAUACGCUGGACGGCCGAGAGGCGGUCCAGGAAAGAUUCAUUGUCGAUGGAUGAGCCUGCGUCCGAUUAGCUAGUUGGUGGGGUAAUGGCUCACCAAGGCUCCGAUCGGUAGCUGGUCUGAGAGGACGAUCAGUCACACUGGAACUGAGACACGGUCCAGACUCCUACGGGAGGCAGCAGUGGGGAAUUUUCCGCAAUGGGCGCAAGCCUGACGGAGCAACGCCGCGUGGAUGAAGAAGGCUUUCGGGUCGUAAAAUCCUUUCAGCAGGGACGAGUAGAAGACGGUACCUGCAGAAGAAGCAUCGGCUAACUACGU